GGCACGUCCGACUGUCUGUCUGUCGGUCGGUCCCCAGUGGCCAACCUCUUGGUGUGGGUGGGGAAGCAGGGACGCGCCCUCUACCCACCGUAGACCAGCGAGCACCUGGACCGAGCACGGAAGGGGGACCUGAACGGUAUCAGGUGUGACCUAGAGGCCGAGCACCACAGGCUAGAACGACUGGGACUGGCCGAGACCCAGAGCUAUCUAAGGACAAUGUUAUCUCAUCUCAAAAAGAAAAGAAAAGAAAAGAAAAGAAAAGAAAAGAAAAGAGAAGAGAAGAAAAGAGAAGAGAAGAAAAGAAAAGAAGAGAAAGAAAAGAAGAAGAAAAAUAGCAAAGUAUUUUGAGUACUUC
ensembl:antisense Gm17634 predicted gene, 17634